rnacentral:piRNA from 1 species
UAGGGGUAGAAAACUCCAGAAUAAGGACC